rnacentral:tRNA from 1 species
AGGGGGAUAGGUGGUCUUACGCUGUGACUUCUAAUUACGGAUGGUGCAAUUCGAUUUUGUGCUCCUUCUU